rnacentral:sRNA from 1 species
ACUUGCUGCGGACCAGGUGCAUCGACGUCCGCAGCACCAGACACCACACCGUGCCACGGGAACAUCGUGGCAUUUCAGGGCGUU